rnacentral:rRNA from 1 species
GUGCAGCAGUCGCGAAAACUUUACAAUGUGCGAAAGCACGAUAAGGGAACUCUGAGUGCCUCCUAAGGAGGCUGUUCUGAUGUCUAAAAAGCAACAGAAGUAAGGGCUGGGUAAGACCGGUGCCAGCCGCCGCGGUAACACCGGCAGCCCAAGUGGUAGCCACGUUUAUUGGGUCUAAAGCGUUCGUAGCCGGCCAGGUAAGUUCCUUGGUAAAUUUAGCCGCUUAACGGUUAAGCUUUCAGGGAAUACUGCUUGGCUUGGGACUGGGAGAGGUCAGAGGUACUCCGGGGGUAGGGGUGAAAUCUAUUAAUCCCUGGGGGACCACCGGUAGCGAAGGCGUCUGACCAGACCAGGUCCGACGGUGAGGGACGAAGGCUAGGGGCGCGAACCGGAUUAGAUACCCGGGUAGU